AUUGAACGCUGGCGGCCGGCUUAACACAUGCAAGUCGAACGAGUGGCGGACGGGUGUGUAAUGCUUUGGAAUCUCGCUUAUGGCGGGGGUUCACUCCGGUAAACUGUCGCUACUUCCGCGUACCUUAGGAUGAGCCCAAGUGGGAUUAGGUAGUUGGUGAGGUACAGACUCACCAGGCCGACGAUCUCUAGCUGGUCUGAGAGGAUGACCAGCCACACGGGGACUGAGACACGGCCCAGAAUCCUACGGGAGGCAGCAGUGGGGAAUAUUGCGCAAUGGGGGCAACAGGACGCAGCCAGGCCGCGUGAAUGAAGAAGGCCUUCGGGUUGUAAAGUUAGUUCGGUAGCGAGGCGUUAACUACAGAAGAAGCACCGGCUAACUCCGUGCCAGCAGCCGCGGUAAUAC
rnacentral:rRNA from 1 species